CAAAUCUCAAAAAAACAAUCUCAGUUCAGACUGCAGGCUGCAACUCGCCUGCACGAAGUCGGAAUUGCUAGUAAUCGUAGGUCAGCAUACUACGGUGAAUACGUUCCCGGGCCUUGUACACACCGCCCGUCAAACCAUGAGAGUUGGCAACACCCGAAGUCGGUAGUCUAACCGCAAGGAGGACGCCGCCGAAGGUGGGGUUGAUGAUUAGGGUUAAGUCGUAACAAGGUAAC
rnacentral:rRNA from 1 species